CACCGCCCUGUUUCUCUUUCUCAGCAAAUGACAAGCGCUACUGUGAGGUUGGAUUCAGCUCGGCCAUCUCGGAGUCUGGGAGGUUGUUGCUUGGAGCACCUGGUGGAUAUUACUUUGGAGGUCUGGUCUACUCAGUCAACCUCUCGGCGGUGGUCGCAAGCGUCCUCGAGUCUCCUUUGUUGCUGCGGACAGUUAGCCCACAGCAAGUGACGCCCGACUACACUGAAGGAAGUUAUGAUGAUGCAUACCGGGGCUAUUCAGUGGCUUUCGGGGAGUUUGAUGACGAUCCACAGACACCAG